AAAACUGAACAAAUUCAUCCCCUACCUAAACCCUCAUCGUCCACUUCUUCAACCGUCAACAAUGUCCUUCGUCGCCGCCGCCGCCAGGUCCACUUUCCGAUCCAACGCCGCCGUCCGUAGCGCAUCAUCAAGACUCUACAGCGGUGCCAAGGCGAAGCCUUCCGGCACCUCCUUCGGCAUCCCGACAAAGAAACCUACAUCUCCUCGAGUUUUCAGAUCUCCUGUUGAGAUGAGUAGUAUCUCCAUCGUAUCGAUGCUUCCUUUUCACACCGCCACUGCUUCUUCGUUGCUCACUUCAAUGCUCUCUGUUUCUCCUCGAUGGACACCGGAAGAUUCAUAACACGUUUUGUGAUUGCAAACAAAAGCACGGUUCACAAUCGCGGGACAACUCUGAAUAAUAUGGAGAAGAGGGUUAUUCUAAUCGAGACAAUGGAUGAUUAUUUAUUGUUCGAGAUCCCGUGCAAUCUGAUCCUACUUUCCGUUCAUUGAACUACUACUACGGAUUCGGGCUUUCUUAUGUUGUUUCACUUAAAAAAUUUAGUCUAUUUGAAUUUGCAUUGGUGAAGAGUUUAGCUAUUUGAAUGAUAUUUGAAGUUUUGAACACUCAUGUUAUGAGAGAAUGA